GACGAACGCUGGCGGCGUGCUUAACACAUGCAAGUCGAACGGGCCUGUCUUCUUUUUUGGGGGUGGGUUGAGUGGCGAACGGGUGAGUAUCACGUGAGUAACCUGCCCUUCGGUCCUGGAUAACCGCUUGAAAGGGCGGCUAAUACGGGGUGGUCCGGUUGGUCCGCAUGGGCUGGUCGGGAUAGAUUCACUGUUUUUGGUGUUUCGGCGGGGGAUGGGCUCGCGGCCUAUCAGCUUGUUGGUGGGGUGAUGGCCUACCAAGGCGGUGACGGGUAGCCGGCCUGAGAGGGUGGGCGGCCACACUGGGACUGAGAUACGGCCCAGACUCCUGCGGGAGGCAGCAGUGGGGGGUAUUGCACAAUGGGCGGAAGCCUGGUGCAGCGACGUCGCGUGAGGGAUGGAGGCCUUCGGGUUGUGAACCUCUGUUUCCGGUGGUGAAGGCCCUGUCCGUGUGGUGGGGUUGACGGUAGCCGGGGAUGAAGCGCCGGCUAACUACGUG
rnacentral:rRNA from 1 species